rnacentral:rRNA from 1 species
GGGGAAUAUUGGACAAUGGGCGAAAGCCUGAUCCAGCAAUGCCGCGUGAGUGAUGAAGGCCUUAGGGUUGUAAAGCUCUUUUACCCGGGAUGAUAAUGACAGUACCGGGAGAAUAAGCCCCGGCUACCUCCGUGCCAGCAGCCGCGGUAAUACGUAGGUGGCAAGCGUUGUCCGGAUUUACUGGGCGUAAAGAGCGCGCAGGCGGUUGUGCAAGUCGCGUGUGAAAGCCCCCGGCUCAACUGGGGAGGGUCACGCGAUACUGCUCAACUCGAAGGCAGGAGAGGGAAGUGGAAUUCCCGGUGUAGUGGUGAAAUGCGUAGAUAUCGGGAGGAACACCAGUGGCGAAGGCGACUUCCUGGCCUGUUCUUGACGCUGAGGCGCGAAAGCUAGGGUAGCAAAC